rnacentral:rRNA from 1 species
ACUCCUACGGGAGGCAGCAGUAGGGAAUCUUCCACAAUGGGCGCAAGCCUGAUGGAGCAACACCGCGUGAGUGAAGUAAGGGUUUCGGCUCGUAAAGCUCUGUUAGUUAAAGAGGAACACGUAUGAGAGUAACUGUUCAUACGUUGACGGUAUUUAACCAGAAAGUCACGGCUAACUACGUGCCAGCAGCCGCGGUAAUACGUAGGUGGCAAGCGUUAUCCGGAUUUAUUGGGCGUAAAGAGAGUGCAGGCGGUUUUCUAAGUCUGAUGUGAAAGCCUUCGGCUUAACCGGAGAAGUGCAUCGGAAACUGGAUAACUUGAGUGCAGAAGAGGUAGUGGAACUCCAUGUGUAGCGGUGGAAUGCGUAGAUAUAUGGAAGAACACCAGUGGCGAAGGCGGCUACCUGGUCUGCAACUGACGCUGAGACUCGAAAGCAUGGGUAGCGAACAGGAUUAGAUACCCCUGGUAGGAUAGCG